UUUGUCUUCAAGAGUUGGUCCCCUGCAGAUAUUUCCGGUGUCAUGCAUGUUAGUAGUCGACAGAUAGGAGAGAGGUUAUGUCUGUGCUCAGUGUUCUGACUUGUGAACAUCUGAAUGAUUAAUAGCUUAACAUU